UACGUAGGGGGCUAGCGUUGUCCGGAAUUACUGGGCGUAAAGGGUUCGCAGGCGGAAAUAUAAGUCAGGUGUAAAAGGCGGAGGCUCAACCUCCGUAAGCAUUUGAAACUAUAUUUCUUGAGAUAUGGAGAGGCAAGUGGAAUUCCUAGUGUAGCGGUGAAAUGCGUAGAUAUUAGGAGGAAUACCAGUGGCGAAGGCGACUUGCUGGACAUAUACUGACGCUGAGGAACGAAAGCAUGGGUAGCAAACAGG
rnacentral:rRNA from 1 species